UGUUACUCCUCCCUCCCAUCCUUCCCUCUCAUAUUCCCUCUCAAUCCCAUCUCUACUCUCAUUCUCAAUUCUGUUUUUCCUCUUUUUCCUCUAUACUCUAGCACAAAAAAUGAAAACUAAAAACUAAAAAUGAAAUGGUUAUCAAACGUGCCCUUUACUUUUCACUUUUAGCAAUCAAAUGAGAUGACCAUAUCUUUGCUUUUCAGUGUCUUGCAAUGUGAUUAUAUAUAACAGUAUCUUAUACAGCCUUUUACUCCCUUUUUCUUAGUGUUUUUCUGAUGAUUCUUUUGUGAUUACCUCUCCCUCUCUCUCUCUCUCUCUCUCUCCCUCUCUCUCUCUUUCAUGAUCAUCGGCUGAGUGCCACUGAUGAGUUGCCUUGAAGAUGCUUUAUGUCGAAUCUGAUUCUCCUGCUUGACAUGCUACUGCCCUUUUCUUCCUUUGUCUCUUCCUUCUUUUUUAACCUUUCAAUUUGUUAAUCAGAAAGCCAGAGGUUUUCUUGGUUAGACAUAGCAUGGCCCAGGAUGGAUUUGGGAUGAUAUGGUUGGAUUUGCUGGCAAUUCUCUGAAUGUAGACAACUGAUUCUUUUAUGGAGACGGCUUGCUUUGAGAGUUAAAAAUGGG
rnacentral:lncRNA from 1 species